rnacentral:lncRNA from 1 species
CUUGUUUUUCUUUUUACUUGUUUUUCUUAUAUUUCCUGCUUCAUGAGCAAGAAACAACAAGCUUUACCUUCACAGUAGAAGAGUCCAGCAGAACAAAGUUGGAAGCAGAGGGAGUGAAUCUAAACCUAUGGACAGAUUCAUCUUGGAAACCCUAAGUGAGGCUAAAGGGAGAAAACAAAUUGGAAGGAGAUUUAAAGGAUUCUCAAAUACAAACUGAAGUUUUCAAGAACAGGAUCAUGAAGGACAGUAAAAAUCAGGUAGGGACAUGUAUAAAGGCUAAGAAGGCCUAACAGAUUCUUAAAAUCCAUUACAUGGUUUUGGAUGGUACUAGGUUUAAAUUCAUAUAUGACUAAAGCACUUUAGAACUAGAUCAAAUUAAUCUAACAUUUCAGAGGCUGCCAAUCACCAAAUAUAAAUUUAUAUUUCCUAAUCCUAUAACUUUUGAAUUGGUGGCACAGAAAAAGGUGAAAAUAAAAACCUGACAGCAAAAGUUGAAUGAAGCACUACCAUACUAAAGCUAGAAGGUAGCUGUAAUGUGGGUUAAAAAAAAUUCGAAUCCCCUAAAAUAUUCCAAAUACACAGGUACCAACAGCCAAAUUAAGGAACCUAAAAAUGUAUUUUCCAUUCUCCAAAUUCUUAUUAACC